GAUGAACGCUGGCGGCGUGCCUAAUACAUGCAAGUCGAGCGAACGGACGAGAAGCUUGCUUCUCUGAUGUUAGCGGCGGACGGGUGAGUAACACGUGGAUAACCUACCUAUAAGACUGGGAUAACUUCGGGAAACCGGAGCUAAUACCGGAUAAUAUUUUGAACCGCAUGGUUCAAAAGUGAAAGACGGUCUUGCUGUCACUUAUAGAUGGAUCCGCGCUGCAUUAGCUAGUUGGUAAGGUAACGGCUUACCAAGGCAACGAUGCAUAGCCGACCUGAGAGGGUGAUCGGCCACACUGGAACUGAGACACGGUCCAGACUCCUACGGGAGGCAGCAGUAGGGAAUCUUCCGCAAUGGGCGAAAGCCUGACGGAGCAACGCCGCGUGAGUGAUGAAGGUCUUCGGAUCGUAAAACUCUGUUAUUAGGGAAGAACAUAUGUGUAAGUAACUGUGCACAUCUUGACGGUACCUAAUCAGAAAGCCACGGCUAACUACGUGCCAGCAGCCGCGGUAAUACGUAGGUGGCAAGCGUUAUCCGGAAUUAUUGGGCGUAAAGCGCGCGUAGGCGGUUUUUUAAGUCUGAUGUGAAAGCCCACGGCUCAACCGUGGAGGGUCAUUGGAAACUGGAAAACUUGAGUGCAGAACCUGAAAGUGGAAUUCCAUGUGUAGCGGUGAAAUGCGCAGAGAUAUGGAGGAACACCAGUGGCGAAGGCGACUUUCUGGUCUGUAACUGACGCUGAUGUGCGAAAGCGUGGGGAUCAAACAGGAUUAGAUACCCUGGUAGUCCACGCCGUAAACGAUGAGUGCUAAGUGUUAGGGGGUUUCCGCCCCUUAGUGCUGCAGCUAACGCAUUAAGCACUCCGCCUGGGGAGUACGACCGCAAGGUUGAAACUCAAAGGAAUUGACGGGGACCCGCACAAGCGGUGGAGCAUGUGGCUUAAUUCGAAGCAACGCGAAGAACCUUACCAAAUCUUGACAUCCUUUGACAACUCUAGAGAUAGAGCUUUCCCCUUCGGGGGACAAAGUGACAGGUGGUGCAUGGUUGUCGUCAGCUCGUGUCGUGAGAUGUUGGGUUAAGUCCCGCAACGAGCGCAACCCUUAAGCUUAGUUGCCAUCAUUAAGUUGGGCACUCUAAGUUGACUGCCGGUGACAAACCGGAGGAAGGUGGGGAUGACGUCAAAUCAUCAUGCCCCUUAUGAUUUGGGCUACACACGUGCUACAAUGGACAAUACAAAGGGCAGCGAAACCGCGAGGUCAAGCAAAUCCCAUAAAGUUGUUCUCAGUUCGGAUUGUAGUCUGCAACUCGACUACAUGAAGCUGGAAUCGCUAGUAAUCGUAGAUCAGCAUGCUACGGUGAAUACGUUCCCGGGUCU
rnacentral:rRNA from 1 species